rnacentral:tRNA from 1 species
GUGGUGGUUCAGUGGUAGAAUUCUCACCUUCCACGCGGGAGACCUGGGCUCAAGUCCUGGCCAACACA